rnacentral:rRNA from 1 species
CCUACGGGGGGCUGCAGUGGGGAAUAUUGGACAAUGGGGGCAACCCUGAUCCAGCCAUGCCGCGUGUGUGAAGAAGGCCCUCGGGUUGUAAAGCACUUUCAGUGAGGAAGAACGCCUGGUGGUUAAUACCCAUCAGGAAAGACAUCACUCACAGAAGAAGCACCGGCUAACUCCGUGCCAGCAGCCGCGGUAAUACGGAGGGUGCGAGCGUUAAUCGGAAUUACUGGGCGCAAAGCGCGCGUAGGUGGCUUGAUAAGCCGGUUGUGAAAGCCCCGGGCUCAACCUGGGAACGGCAUCCGGAACUGUCAAGCUAGAGUGCAGGAGAGGAAGGUAGAAUUCCCGGUGUAGCGGUGAAAUGCGUAGAGAUCGGGAGGAAUACCAGUGGCGAAGGCGGCCUUCUGGACUGACACUGACACUGAGGUGCGAAAGCGUGGGUAGCAAACAGGAUUAGAUACCCCUGUAGUC